GUGUUAGCUGGCCCAUGAAGACACAGUUAUUCUGUGCCCUAUGGAGUUUCCUUAUUCCCAUGUUAGGGCCUCUCCUUCUGGCACAGUUCAGUUGUUGGUGGCAAGGAGAGAGACAUGAAGGGAUGGACUGGGAGAUGUGUGUUCCAGGACGAAGGAAAAAGAUUCCACAUAUAAUUGAUAUCAUAUCCAAGGAAAACCCUAAUUGGAAAAGAUACAUGCACCCCAAUGUUCAUUACAGCACUGUUUAUGAUAACCAAAACAUGAAAGCAACCUAAAUGUCCAUCAACAGAGGAAUGGAUAAAGAAGAUGUGGCACAUAUAUGAAAUACAUAAAUGAAAUACUACUCAGCCAUAAAAAAUAAUGAAAUAAUGCCAUUUGCUACAACAUGGUUGGACCUAGAGAUGAUCAUAGUGAGUGAAGUAAGUCACACAGAGAAAGACAAAUAUCAUAUCAUAUAUCACAUUCUAAUGCUCAGGGUGUUUAGGAGCAAGGACAGUGCUUAGCAGAGAGUUUUGCUAAACAGGGAGAGGAAAAAAUUAUUAAGCAUUUACUCAGUGCCAGGAAUUGUGGUGGGUGCCUUACGUCUGUAGUGGACACUGAGGUUAACUUAUGACUUUCAAUCCAAGCCUGCCUUUGAGCAGCAACAAAGGAAUGGUUUCUAAACAGCCUAAUCCCCUCAAAGGAGAUUCAUUCCCUUGCCUGGUGGUGGUGGUGGGUGGGAGGGCAGCUUCUAGAAUCCAGGUUUAAGCCAAUCAGAGCAUUGCACUCCCCUAAUGAGUGGAUAGAUUAAGGCUGGGCCUGAGAUCUAAACUGGGCAUUCAUACAGAAAGGAAAGAUUCUUUCCAUUUAGGGGCAUGAGGCCAAAGCUCUGGGCAGCAGAUGCAUGCAAGCAUAUAGAUCCUUAGUGCCAGAGAGUCGUUAAAUCCAUCAACCAAACCUAAACUGAGCUGACCAGACAUCCUCCACUCCCUCCCCAUACCUUUCUCAGCUUGCUCUCUGCUCUGAAAGGCUGACUUGUCUGGACUGUGUGGUUGCGCUCUCUUGUCCUCUGGCUCUUGGGGAACAUGGGCAGGAUGUGGAAAGAGGGAGCAGGGUAAGACUCUGCAUACUCAUUCUGAGAUAAUCCCCUGUUUGGAGCAUCUUCUUCUGUGAGAUGACACCCUCCCUUACUAUUUAAACUGGUCUGAAUUAUGUUUAUUCGUUAUUUACAGUAACACAUGUACCCACAAACAUAUGUUAUCUCUUGUAAACUUCAGGAGAAGUUAAGGUGCCGUU
rnacentral:lncRNA from 1 species